rnacentral:rRNA from 1 species
UACGUAGGGGCAAGCGUUGCUCGGAAUUACUGGGCGUAAAGGGCGCGUAGGCGGACAACUUAGUCAGAGGUGAAAGCCCAGGGCUCAACCUUGGAAUUGCCUUUGAUACUGGUUGUCUUGAGUUCGGGAGAGGUGAGUGGAAUGCCGAGUGUAGAGGUGAAAUUCGUAGAUAUUGGGAAGAACACCGGUGGCGAAGGCGGCGCUCGUGGACCGAGACGUGACGCUGAGGCGCGAAAGCGUGGGGAGCAACAGGGAUU